AGACGUCUACAUUAGAUACCCCCCGUAGUCCCAGCCGUAAACUAUGCGCGUUAGGUGUAUCGGUGACCACGAGUCACCGAGGUGCCGAAGGGAAACCGUGAAACGUGCCGCCUGGGAAGUACGGUCGCAAGGCUGAAACUUAAAGGAAUUGGCGGGGAGCACCACAACAGGUGGAGCCUGCGGUUUAAUUGGAUUCAACGCCGGACAUCUCACCGGAUAAGACAGCUGAAUGAUUGUCAAUCUGAAGGUUUUACAUGACUAGCUG
rnacentral:rRNA from 1 species